rnacentral:rRNA from 1 species
AUUGAACGCUGGCGGCAGGCCUAACACAUGCAAGUCGAACGAGUGGCGGACGUGUGAGUAAUGUCUGGGACACUGCCUGAUGGAGGGGGAUAACUACUGGAAACGGUAGCUAAUACCGCAUACCAUCAGAUGUGCCCAGAUGGGCUUGGCUAGUUGGUGGGGUAACGGCUAACAAGGGCGACGAUCCCUAGCUGGUCUGAGAGGAUGACCGGCAACCUGGGAACUGAGACACGGUCCAGAUUCCUACGGGAGGCGCAAGUGGGGAAUAUUGCACAAUGGGGGAAAGCCUAAUGCAGCAAGGCCGCGUGUAUGAAGAAGGCCUUCGGGUUGUAAAGUACGUUCAGCGGGGAGGCGUUACCCGAAGAAGAAGCACCGGCUAACUCCGUGCCAGCAGCCGCGGUAAUAC